UUGACCUCGGAUCAGGUAGGGAUACCCGCUGAACUUAAGCAUAUCAAUAAGCGGAGGAAAAGAAACCAACAGGGAUUGCCUCAGUAACGGCGAGUGAAGCGGCAACAGCUCAAAUUUGAAAUCUGGCUCUUUCAGGGUCCGAGUUGUAAUUUGUAGAGGAUGUUUCGGGUGUGGCUCCGGUCUAAGUUCCUUGGAACAGGACGUCAUAGAGGGUGAGAAUCCCGUAUGUGACUGGUAGCCUACGCCCAUGUGAAACUCCUUCGACGA
rnacentral:rRNA from 1 species